rfam:Strigamia maritima strain Brora ctg7180001231436, whole genome shotgun sequence.
AAGAUCAUACUUCACAGGAUCAUUUCUAAAGUAUGUAUCGCCCAUUCUCUAUCCAAGAGAUGGAACACCCGAAACCAUGAGGAUGAGACACAACGUUUCCUCUUGAGCGUGAAGCCGGGUUGUUCGCCAAUUUAAUGGUUGAACUUCGCAUUGAUGACCGCUCUUUGCGACCUACGGGCUGCUAAAGAGGGAGGAGACGUAUUCUGAGUGGU